UAGGUCUUACUGCAUUUUAAUCCAUGG
rnacentral:piRNA from 1 species